GACGAACGCUGGCGGCGUGCUUAACACAUGCAAGUCGAGCGGUAAGGCUCCUUCGGGAGUACACGAGCGGCGAACGGGUGAGUAACACGUGAGCAAUCUGCCCUUCACUUCGGGAUAACUCCGGGAAACCGGUGCUAAUACCGAAUACGACCACUUCAGGCACCUGAUGGUGGUGGAAAGUUCCGGCGGUGAAGGAUGAGCUCGCGGCCUAUCAGCUUGUUGGUGGGGUAAUGGCCCACCAAGGCAACGACGGGUAGCCGGCCUGAGAGGGUGACCGGCCACACUGGGACUGAGACACGGCCCAGACUCCUACGGGAGGCAGCAGUGGGGAAUAUUGGACAAUGGGCGAAAGCCUGAUCCAGCAACGCCGCGUGAGGGAUGACUGCCUCGGUUGUAAACCUCUUUCAGCAGGGACGAAGCGCAAGUGACGUA
rnacentral:rRNA from 1 species